rnacentral:ncRNA from 1 species
UUCUAAAGACGCAAUGUGAUUUAUUCCCAUUGUUCUACAUGUCAAAGUGAAGAAAUUCAACCAAGCAUGGGUAAACAUCGAGAGUAACUAUGGCUCUCUUAAGAUAGCCAAAUGCCUUGUCAUCUAAUUAGUGAUGCACAUGAAUGGAUCAUUAAUGAGAUUUCCCACUGUCCCUAGCUACUAUAUUCUAGAGAAACCACAUCCAAUGGAAUGGGCUUGGCAAAAUUAGCGGGGAAAGAAGACCUUAUUGAGCUUGACUCUAGUCCUAACCCAUUCAUAGUUUGGGA